GACGAACGCUGGCGGCGUGCUUAACACAUGCAAGUCGAACGGACAGGCCCUGCUUUUGUUGGUUGCUCGAUUGGCGAACGGGUGAGUGACACGUGAGUAACAUGCCCUUGACUUUGGGGUAACUUCAGGGAACUGGGGCUAAUACCGCAUAGGAGCUCCUGCUGCAUGGUGGGGGUUGGAAAGUUUCGGCGGUUUGGGAUCGACUCGCGGCUUAUCCGCUUGUUGGUGGGGUAGUUGCUUACCAAGGCUUUGACGGGUAGCCGGCCUGAGAGGGUGACCGGGGACAAUGGGACUGAGGUACGGAGCAGACGGCUACGGGAGGCAGUAGUGGGGAAUAUGGCAGAAUGGGCGGAAGUCAGAUGCAGCGACGUUGCGUGCGGGAUGACCGGUUUCGGGGUGUGAACCGCUGUCGCAGGAGACGAAGAGGGAGUGACGGUAAUGGGUAAAGAAGCAACGGCUAACUACGUG
rnacentral:rRNA from 1 species